CCCCGGAUUGGAUGUGAUCCUUCUGUGACACGUGACCGUCCGACUGGAUGUAAUCCUUCUGUGACAUCCUUUGCAAGCUCUGCAACAUCUCCUUCACUGUGCCCACUGCAGCUCAUGACAAAUGUGUGUUUAUUGUAUUCAUGAUGGCUUCCCUCACUGAUUAUUAGCCCCAGGAAGGCAGGAACCGGUCUACAUAUAUCAACAAUGAGCUCAGAGAUUGCAGCCCGGAAGUCAUCAUUUAAUGAAGGAUUGACUGCAGCCCAUGGGGGCUGGAGGGAACAUUCAGACCCACUUGCCAUCGUCAUGCAUGGAGAUGAGGGUUUUGGAAGGCUGCUUGGAAGAGGCUGCUUGGAAGAUGUUAGAAAGGUAGAGAAGAGUUCACAAAGAGGUCCUAAUGGCCUGGGUAUUAAAGGGGACGCCCACUCUGGCUGCUCUGAGAGCACUUGUGACCAGAACACAAAGGACACUUUGAGCUGCAAACUGCUAAACAGGCCCGGGAAAUGAUAAGUAGGAACAGCCGAGGCUUCUCAGUGCCAAGCCAGCAAGUAUCCUCUCCUCUCCAAACACCGGAAGCCCUGGGAAUUCCCUGCAGGAGAAGAAGGAACCAGAUGCCUGAAAUGAGCUUGCCCCAGGCCGGGGACCUGUGCACGGCCCUGCGAGCACCUGGUGCCCUCUAGUGGCCACAGGCGGCCCUGCAGGGCCGCAUUUUCUGGAACCACUCACUCUUCAAUUGAACUUGCUAACAGGUUUAAACCGCAGGAUCUACCUUUGACAACAAGAUAAGGAAGGGACAGGGGAGGGAGGGUGCCAGGACGUUUUUUUUGUGCCUGAAAUGGAUAAAGCUGGCGGCAAAUUCUA